AUAAGCGCUUGCGGUCGAAGGACCAUAGCAUUAACAGUUGGGACUUCACUAUCUUUGGACCAAACGAUCCUUAAAUGUCAACUAAAACCUGCCACAUAGAAUAGCUCACAAACAUAAUAAAACAGAGUGGACACUCAAUGUUCUUUGGCUGCCUGGAAAUAAAGGUUCCCUCUUUGGUUUCUUCAAGAACUUCUCGUGGAGCAUGGUGUGGAUGUUUGCGUAAUUGCAUUAGCUGCCUAAUGUUACAUCGUUCUUUUAAUUGUCUUAACAUACUGCUAGAAAUAUUUGGCCUACUACUUCUCCAGCUAUAAGACAAUCUGAAGACCCCAAUCUUAUAGAUGAGCCCACGUGACCUUUGCCUGAGUUGGUUGUUAAUUGUUAUGUCAAGCUUGAUUAGUUAGCUGCUUAGUCAAUAGUUAGUUAUCUAAGAUAUUUUCAGAGGUCGGUUAGUGCCUUUAUAUAUUGUACAGCUCAUUAUUUUUAAAGCACUUAAUAUGAAUUGAAGAAAACAAUUUUCCCCUUAUUCCUUUCUCUAAAAUUCCUUCUCUGUUUCAUCAAUUCGACCUGAGUUGUGGAUUUUAACACAUACUCCUGACAAAUGAGUAUGAUAUGAAUGUACAUACUGCAAUUAUAUUCUCCAAGAUACACUACAAAUUUAAAUUAAAACAAGAAGAAUCUAGAAGUUCCUUUGCCUGAUACACACAUUAUCCAUAUCGGAUCUUUUGGAAGUUAUUGAAGGAAGUUUAGACAUCGAGCUAGUUUGGAAGGUUUCAAAUUUCGUAUUACAGCAAUGAAUGAAUCUUUUAGGGAUCUGCAGUACCACAAUGAAGUGAAAUAAGCAUUAGUAGUUAGGCAUCAGGAAAUACUCGAAUCAUCCACUGAGGUGUUCAUUCUCAUGUUACGCAGACUCUGAUACAUAUGAAGCCAAGUGCUUUACACUUCAGAGAGAGCAACGGGAAUGUUUUUUGUAUGUUCUAUUUCAUCCCACAUCGGGAAGAGCUAAUGCGUAGAUAGCCACUAGCUGCUAUAAAAAUUGAGGCCCGUUCACUUGAAAAAGCAUACCUUUCUCGGCCUUUUGGCUAAGAUCAAGUGUAGUAUGUGGACCAUUGGUUCACACGAUAUUAGCUUAAUUUUUUAAGGGGAGGGUCCAUUCAGGUAGCUUGCUACCUGGGCUUUCACGUGUUGCCCAUGCGUCGCACUGCUGCUUGGGCCUGGCGCACCCCACCAAAUCUAGUCCAACACUUCU